UUUGAUGCUGACGUGCAAGGAAUUUCUUGCGAUGCUGCCAUUUCUGCUCAGAAGCGAUCUUCCAACAGGCGAGCCCUGUGCCAAGCAUCUGGACCCUGUUGCUGACUUUCCACUCUCACCCCAGGCGGGAUGUCAGCACCCAUCCCCUUGCCGUCUCCCUCUCGGGUCGAGGUGGAGUUUUCCGGGCCGGGCUCCGGGGCCCAGAGCUUUGCAGAGCAGCAUGAAGUGUGGGUGCUCUGGCAAUCUCCCCGUCCCUUCCAUCUUCAGUGCCAUUGUAGCUUCCCCAGGUCCCAGGCCACUGCCUCUAGGUCCCCCGGCCCCCAGCACCACUCUCCCCUGGGCGUUGUAGCCGCUGUCACUGACGCCUGGCUCUGUUCUGGCCCUUGUACCACAGGACAGCCCUCAGGCCUGUUGAACUUGCUCCUACGAGGCCAGGCGGGGGCUCAGGGUGACGCCCAGGCGAGGUGGUGGCCUCACAGGCUAACACGCAGUGAGGACUGGGAGCUGCUGGGAAAGAAACAGCUGUAGGUGCCUUGCUCUUCCUGCCCACGUGGCUGGGGGCAGUUCUGGCUUCACGGCCUCGCCUGCUUGAACUGAAGCCAAUGUCCGCUCCCCGCUCAGUCCUGUCCCGGGACCCCAGGGGCGGGAGCAGCAGCACAUCCAGGGCCUGGGCCGCGCUGGGGCCUCUCCCACAGACUCCGCCUCUCCCACUACCAAACGCUCACGCGGGGAGGUGGCCUGUAGCUCGUACACGGAGCACCUCUCUCCCGUGAGGAGGGGGCCCUGUCAGCCCUUCGCUUACAGGCUCCGCAGGCUCAGUCUGGGGAGAGGUGGCGGGCGUGGGAUCUCCCUCGCAGACGGGCUCAGAGGUUUACACGUUUUCUAAGCUUUUGAUAAUGUGAAGCUCCAGGUUAAGAGACGCUGUUGAGCGCAUUGCAGAAACACAAAACAAGCAAAAAAGAAGCCAAAGCAUGAUGCGUCUUGUCUGCCGCCAGCGGCUCCUCACUGAGCUGUGCCAUUUCCACCCGGCGGGCAGCAGCCGCGGGGAAGCAGGGAGCCGGCCCGGCCGCGGCACUGGGGCCCAGCCGCGUCCUGUGUGAGGAACAUCCAGUGGCUGGGGGCCGUGCCUCAGUGCGCCAUUCGUGUGGAGAUGUGAAUGCCUGCUGCUUAAGAUCUGUAUAAAGUGCUGUGUGAUUAAACCUUUUUUUUUUACUUGCAUUUUUUUUUGGUUUGGCUCAUUACAAUGUACAAAAAGAAGGUGGCACCAUUAAACCUGCCUCUGCCAUG